AGUGAACGCUGGCGGUAGGCCUAACACAUGCAAGUCGAACGGCAGCACAGUAAGAGCCUGCUCUUACGGGUGGCGAGUGGCGGACGGGUGAGGAAUACAUCGGAAUCUACUUUUUCGUGGGGGAUAACGUAGGGAAACUUACGCUAAUACCGCAUACGACCUACGGGUGAAAGCAGGGGAUCUUCGGACCUUGCGCGAUUGAAUGAGCUGAUGUCGGAUUAGCUAGUUGGCGGGGUAAAGGCCCACCAAGGCGACGAUCCGUAGCUGGUCUGAGAGGAUGAUCAGCCACACUAGAGCAUGGACACGGUCCAGACUCCUACGAGAAGCAGCAGUGGGGAAUAUGGGACAGUGGGCGCGAGCCUGAUCCAGCCAGACCGCGUAGGUGAAGAAGACCUUCGGGUUGUAAAGCCCUUUUGUGGGGAAAAAAAAGCAGCAGCUUAAUACCCCGCUGUUCUGACGGUACCCAGAGAAUAAGCACCGGCUAACUUCGUG
rnacentral:rRNA from 1 species